ACCGAAAAUCGGAGUUGUGGUCUAGAGAAGGUAAUGGGAGGAAGAUGUCUCUAGUAAAGUGACCUGGAAAGGUCCGCCGUGGAGGGUGAUAGCCCCGUUCGUACUAGAGAGGUCAACUAUUCUAUGCCUUCGAAGAGUCGAGUUGUUUGGGAAUGCAGCUCUAAUAGGUGGUAAAUUCCAUCUAAAGCUAAAUAUGGAAGAGAGACCGAUAGCAAACAAGUACCGUGAGGGAAAGAUGAAAAGAACUUUGAAAAAAGAGUGAAAGAGUACCUGAAAUUGCUGAAAAGAAACAGAUGCAAAGCAGUGUCUUCUUGGGAAGUCUCGAGCGAAGGACCUUUCCAAAAUGCUUUGCAUCAACCCGUCUUGAAACACGGACCAAGGAGUCUAACAUGUGUGCGAGUGUUUGGGGUUAAUCCCUAGCGCGAAAUGAAAGUAAAAAACCGCACUAUCGACCGACCAUGAUCCUUCGGGUGAAAGGUUUGAGUAUGAGCACAUAUGUUGGGACCCGAAAGAUGGUGAACUAUGCCUGAGUAGAACGAAGCCAGGGGAAACUCUGGUGGAGGUUCGUAGCGGUUCU
rnacentral:rRNA from 1 species